GGGGUUGUUUAUGGAUUCGACAGGGUAGUUAGAGCUUGAUAAGCAUGUCAGGGUGGUGCCUGUAAUACACUAGGUUAAAUAUAACCGGAAACCAAAAUUACGCUUACGCUGCUUAAUAUAUAAGCGCGAUCUCCCCUUCUGUAGUCUAGGACAGGAGACAGGAGAACAGUAACUAGAAUAUAUUUAGAAUGUGCCGUCUUAACAAACUAAAUGAACUUAAUAAGACUCGUCAGUAUCUUGGCCGUGUAUCACUUGGGUGCUGAUUAAAACAAUUGAUAUACUAAGCAUGUAGAAAAUUAAGUUUCGUCUAUUUUGGACAGGGGUUCAAAUCCCCUCAACUCCACCA
rnacentral:tmRNA from 1 species